rnacentral:rRNA from 1 species
AUUGAACGCUAGCGGGAUGCUUUACACAUGCAAGUCGAACGAGUGGCGGACGGGUGAGUAAUAUAUCGGAACGUGCCCCGUAGCGGGGGAUAACUACUCGAAAGAGUCGCUAAUACCGCAUACUAUAGGUGCGGCCUAUAUCGGAUUAGCGAGUGGGGGGGGUAAAGGCUCACCAAGGCAACGAUACGUAGCUGGUUUGAGAGGACGACCAGCCACACUGGGACUGAGAAACGGCCCAGACUCCUACGGGAGGAAGCAGUGGGGAAUUUUGGACAAUGGGGGAAAUCCUGAUGCAGCCAUCCCGCGUGUAUGAGAAGGCCUUCGGGUUGUAAAGUACUUUUGGCAGAGAAGCGGUAUCUGCAGAAUAAGCACCGGCUAACUACGUGCCAGCCGCCGCGGUAAUUC